UUGCAUGGAGAACUAGUGUGGAAAAAUAGUUCGCAUAUCAAACAUAAAAUAAAUUAAAGGAAAUUUGUGGCAUAUCGGUAAAAAUUAUCUUAGGAACUAAAAAUUAACUUGGAAAUUUGUAAACAGUUUUAAAAGUUAUCUUUAAUUUGUAUGCUCCAAAACCCGCGCAGGAAUACACACAGAGAACGUUGGUUUAUUUGUAAACAAAGAAAGGAGAAAGAAAAGAAAGGAAAGACGAGGCAAAAUAUCAAGAUUGAGAACAAAUAUACCAUUUGGGAAGAAGAACACAGCUAACACAAAACAUUGCAGUUAUUAAAAUUCACAUACAACCUAAAUGACAUAAUCAAGUUGAAAUACAUGUAAUACAAACAGUGCAACCUGCUCAAGAAAAAAACCCCUCUUACAACAUAAUAUCUGUAAAAGACCAAAUAAUAAAGUAAAUCAAACCAACAAAGCAAACAAGACUACAAAUCAACAGGAUUGCCAUAGAAGAAAUUGCUGUUGCAAUAUAUGUUACCUUUAACAUACAAAAGUUUAUGAAGCAGAACAACAUAAAUAAAUAUAAAAUCCAUUGA